rnacentral:tRNA from 2 species
UCCCCGGUAGCUCAGCAGGUAGAGCGGGCGGCUGUUAACCGCCAGGUCCCAGGUUCGAGCCCUGGCCGGGGAG